AUUGAACGCUGGCGGCAUGCUUUACACAUGCAAGCCGAACGGUAACAGGUUAAGCUGACGAGUGGCGAACGGGUGAGUAAUGCAUCGGAACGUGCCCGGUCGUGGGGGAUAACGCAGCGAAAGCUGCGCUAAUACCGCAUACGAGCUAAGGAUGAAAGCGGGGGACCGUAAGGCCUCGCGCGAUCGGAGCGGCCGAUGUCAGAUUAGGUAGUUGGUGGGGUAAAGGCUCACCAAGGCAACGAUCUGUAGCUGGUCUGAGAGGACGACCAGCCACACUGGGACUGAGACACGGCCCAGACUCCUACGGGAGGCAGCAGUGGGGAAUUUUGGACAAUGGGCGAAAGCCUGAUCCAGCAAUGCCGCGUGCAGGAAGAAGGCCUUCGGGUUGUAAACUGCUUUUGUACGGCGCGAAAAGGUCUCCUCUAAUACAGGGGGCUCAUGACGGUACCGUAAGAAUAAGCACCGGCUAACUACGUGCCAGCCGCCGCGGUAA
rnacentral:rRNA from 1 species